GAUGAACGCUGGCGGCGUGCCUAAUACAUGCAAGUCGAGCGAACGGAUGAGAAGCUUGCUUCUCUGAUGUUAGCGGCGGACGGGUGAGUAACACGUGGAUAACCUACCUAUAAGACUGGGAUAACUUCGGGAAACCGGAGCUAAUACCGGAUAAUAUUUUGAACCGCAUGGUUCAAAAGUGAAAGACGGUCUUGCUGUCACUUAUAGAUGGAUCCGCGCUGCAUUAGCUAGUUGUUAAGGUAACGGCUUACCAAGGCAACGAUGCAUAGCCGACCUGAGAGGGUGAUCGGCCACACGGGAACUGAGACACGGUCCAGACUCCUACGGGAGGCAGCAGUAGGGAAUCUUCCGCAAUGGGCGAAAGCCUGACGGAGCAACGCAGCGUGAGUGAUGAAGGUCUUCGGAUCGUAAAACUCUGUUAUUAGGGAAGAACAUAUGUGUAAGUAACUGUGCACAUCUUGACGGUACCUAAUCAGAAAGCCACGGCUAACUACGUG
rnacentral:rRNA from 1 species